CAGGACAAACGCUGGCGGCGUGCCUAACACAUGCAAGUCGAACGAAGCACUGUGGAAAGAGACUCGGUCAAUUGAAACUUUGACUUAGUGGCGGACGGGUGAGUAAUGCAUGAGCAACCUGCCCUGGAGAGGGGGGACAACAGCUGGAAACGGCUGCUAAUACCGCAUGAUGUCACCGGGAGGCAUCUCCUGGUGACCAAAGAUUUAUCGCUCUGGGAUGGGCUCAUGUCUGAUUAGAUAGUUGGCGGGGCAACGGCCCACCAAGUCUGCGAUCAGUAGCCGGACUGAGAGGUUGAACGGCCACAUUGGGACUGAGAUACGGCCCAGACUCCUACGGGAGGCAGCAGUGGGGAAUAUUGGGCAAUGGGCGCAAAGCCUGACCCAGCAACGCCGCGUGAAGGAAGAAGGCUUUCGGGUUGUAAACUUCUUUUAUCAGGGACGAAGAAAGUGACGGUACCUGAUGAAUAAGCCACGGCUAACUACGUGCCAGCAGCCGC
rnacentral:rRNA from 1 species